GUGACAACCACUAGUAAAUUGUGGCUUUGCCGAUAUUUAAUAAUAAAAAUAUACUAGAAGGUGGGGCCCACACAUUGGAAACACCUUGGGAAGGCCCCAAUCAACAUAAGGAUCCAUUCCCAUAUAAUGGGAACCAAUUCGGCCUUCACCGGUAAACACCUCAAGUGAGAUAUACUGGCCAAAAUUGGGUUAUUUGGUCGUGGGACCUAGGCCCUUGCACUCGUGCACCUCAAACCACUCCCAAUAGUUGGGACAACAUAUUGGGGUAUAGAUUAAUGUAUCCGGACACCUCGAGGUGGGCCCGUUGGUGUCAAAUGACGGUUUAACCCGGAAAGGAGUAAAAACUCAUUAUUUUUCCAAACAGUCCUCAAGAAACUUAAGUGGCUAUGAAUAGAAGCCUUAGCCAUUCAUUCUAUUCAUUCCUACCAAACUAAAAGCAAGAGAAGAGAGGAAGGAGAAGAAGGAGGAGAAGAGCAAGGGCGGAGGAAGAAGAGAGGAGCAAGGGGAGCACCCAUCUAAGGAGUAGAACCAAGAAGUGACGGGACAACGCGGCACGAGGCCAUCAGCUGUCCAUCAUCACCUAGGACUCGAGAUGUUGAUUCAGGGAACCCUUCAGAGACUAUGGUUGAGGAGCCGACCCUCUAUGGAGGUGACCUCUGGGAAGAGGAGCUAGCCAUGCACGAGGACGGUUGUGUAUGCGAUGAUUGUGCUUUUGGAGCAAGCUGAGGAUGAGAGUAUCAUCUUCCCUUUUGAUUAUUUACAUAUCAGAUGUAGCCCUAGGGGCAUGACUGUAAUUUUGUUUCCGUUGUGAAAACCUUCUUUGAGUAAAUAUGUUAAAUAUCAUUAGAUGUCACCAGUUGUGUA